rnacentral:lncRNA from 1 species
GCUAGAUGGCACUGAGCGUACAGCCCUGGAUAUGAAUGGAACCUCAGUAGUCUUGGGGAGACUUUACUGGGGGACACUGGCAGUGGAAGAUAAAUGCUGUGUUUCCAGCGUGAAGAUUUGGGGCCACCCUGGCCCCUCCAGAUGAGGUGCAGACUUCAGCUCUGCUGGAAGGUGAGCACCCCAGGUGACCCACACAGCAGACCCAGACCCAGCAGCACAGCCCAGAGUGCCUCAGGGGAGGGAGCUGUGGUACCCAGAGAACAGUGUGGGCACAGGGGGCUCAGGGUGUCCAGCACUCCAGGUCUGUGGCCAGCAGGCUUCUCCUGGCCUGGGGCAGCAGCCACCCUCCGACGCUCCCUCCUGAGUGGAAAUUCCAUCCAACUCAGCUACUCCCUGUCUAGGUGGCUUCCAGAAAGAGUCAGAAGACGCAUUACCGUGGUUGGUACUUACCCAUAGCAGCACAGCCCAUAGUAGCAAAAUCUUGGAAACAGCCUAUAUGCCCAGAAACAGAUGAAUGGAAAAAGAAAAUUUGUUUUUUCUAUACCAAGGAGUAUGACUUUGCCAUGAAGAAGGAUUUCAAGUCAUUGGUAGGAAAAGAGUGCACUUCGAGACCAUAAAGUCAGCUGGAAUAAAUAAACCAGACACACAGGCUUAAAUAGUGAACAACUUCUCUCUUAUGAGAAACUCAAAGUAUAAAUCAUUUUUAAAAACAAAAUAAAAGAUUGAAGAUAGAAAAUGGGAAGAUAGAUCCCCUGCAAAAGAGAUGGGACCAAGGGGUGGAGGGGCGGGGAAGGGAGGAAGAAAGAAUGGAGAUGUGCUAUGUAUUUGUACCGACUCGCCGCAAUGGAUGAAGCGGUCACAAAGUACUGCAAAGAUGUGCUCAUAAAAUAAAAAUUAAAAAUAAAGGGACCAGGAGGGUGUGGGGCCUUUCUGUGAACUGGAGCCCCGUGAGCACGUGGGUGUGCCCCGCAGGGACGAUCACAGGCUCCUGGACGACCCAUGUCUUCGGGCAACGGAGCUUCACAGAGCAUCGUGGACGCGGGCUCUUCCGGCUUAGAGGCAGGGACGAACCCCGGAGACAUGCGGAGCUCCCGCUGGCGCGAGCGUGGAGAUACCGCUCCAAGUGUGGACGUGGCCGGUUGGAGAGGCAACUCUGAGGCUGUCAGCACCGCGUCUGUGGCCUCACAAUCAUCAGCGCCUCAAAGUGGAGAAAGAGCCGAAAGGACAGCUGCUCCCCGAUAUGUCCCAGCAAGCAACCGCCCGGGCUCUCGGGGCACCCGGAGGUGGGAGGGGUGGAAGAGCCUGCUGGUUCUGGGCUCCACUGAGCACCGCUCAAAUCAGGGGCUGCCUGCUCUCCUCACCCGGCUCUGCUUCAGAGGCCAGAGCGACCCGAUGCAGCCCUGGAUGGGGCUUUCCGGCCCUUUCUGGACACGGAACGUGGAUUUCAGCAAAUCAGUGCUCCUCGGAAAGGGAAUCCCACCAUUUAAAGUGUGGAUAAGCAUAAUGUUGCUGUUAGGGUGUCCCAUAAAGAAAACGCAUUUACUCAUCUUGGGAUUGUUUUAAUGACUAUAAUUUAUGUGUGUAUGAAUAAACAGACCCAGACCACAUCAGGCUCUUUGUAAGAAACUUGUCAUUUAGAUGAAAAUUGCUGUUGCUAGUUUUGCAAAUAGUUUGAGAAUGAAUAAUGGCUGUCAGAGAAAUACACACCCUCCUUAUGCUCUUGGCACCCCGCGGUAAAAAGUGUGUGUGUAAUUCGUGCUGCCAUUAAAUGCUACUUUUUCUCAUGGUUCCUGUUUUUAAAUGUUUACUGUAAUUCAGAACUGGUUAAUUGGAUGAUAAUUCAUUUGGGGCCACUUGAGAUGUAAAAGUGCCCUGAGAUCAGUGUAGGCCCAGCUGGCACGAGCUGUGGAUCAGGCGUGGGGGUAUGGAGAGCGAGGGGCUGUGUGCAGGGAGGUGCGGCGUUUUCUGGACCCUGAUUGGCUGCACCAUGAUGGGGGCAGUCUGUAGUCUGUCUGUCUCCCCUGUUGCGGGGUGGGGAUAUCAGGAUUAGAGCUGCCACGAUCUAUCAACACUCAAGCAAACUCACCACCGGAUCCAUUCACGGGAGGCCACGUGGCCAGCUUGGUGCCUCACGGCAGAGGCAAGUGGACGGAAUCCCGUGUGGACGGUGACAGCCCCACUCGACAGGACAGAUGGACCUUGUUAAUCAAGCUCCCUGGAACGUGGUCUCUGCACAGGGGGACGCUACUGUGUGGUGACACCUAUUCUGCGUAGAUGGACCUUGUUAAUCAAGCUCCCUGGAACGUGGUCUCUGCACAGGGGGACGCUACUGUGUGCUUCUGUGUGGUGACACCUAUUCUGCACCUCGAUGCCUCUUUCUAGAAGACCCUUUGGGGUGCCCACCCUAAAGGCAGGGUCAGCAUGCGGCUGGUCACAGGCCACCAUGUCGGAGCACUGCCUGGUGGGGACACAAAGGUCUCCUCUCCUUCCUUCAGACCCCUGGGUUGAAGAUGAUCUCCCCGAUUUGAGGAGAAGAAACUAAGGCUGAGGUUGGAGGACACAAGUUUACCCAGGGCAUCUCACGUCUGCCAGCCACAGUCACAUCACAGGAUUUUUAAAGGGAUGCUCAGUCUCAUGACCAAAUUUGGCACAUCUGUCCUUGUUUUAGAGAAAUCUGCAAAAAGCCUUCCUCAUAGAGAGUGUGAUACUUAACUGUGCUGUGCACUUGAAGAAGAGCGAUCAGUGGAUGGGCUGAGCACCGUCCAGGUCGUGCAUGAUGGGUGGACCAGACCAGCCUGGGUACCAACCAGCAGGCUGUUGUGUCUUGGAUGGAAUAAUAGGGAAAAGACGGAAGAUUCCCUCUGCUUCUCCGGGGGAGCUCCGGUCUUUGCCAUCACCCCUGCAGUCCAUCUCCAGGCUUCCAGCUCAGACGACUCCCGCAGGACUCUGCAGGCAGCUCCGGGCCUCCUGCUUCUUUGGCCUUCAAUUUUGACUGGGUUCACAGUUCCCCACGGUCAGAGGACCCUUGUUGUGAGCCAGCGACACAGAGUACUGGCCAGCAGUGUCUCAAACCUGAAAGAGCAGCGGGGUGGAGAUGGGGCAGAGAGAAAGGAAGGACGCCAAGACAAGAGUCUGAUCAAGGCGACGUUUAUUGCAGGCAGGCAUCAGCCUUUUAAAGGAAAAGACCGAACUAUUAUGGGCUGGGAUUACCAUAGUAACCUCAACACCCACUCCACGGGAACGAGGGUUCACACGGGCAAGAGAAAGCAGGCUCAAGAAAAACAAAUUAACAACACUUGCAACUAAUAAUCAUGAUUCCCAAAUAGGUGGAGGAACUUAACAAAAUGGAGUUACAACACCUGACUCCUACAGAUAACGUCAGAUCUUUAACAGGAAGCACCUGACUCCUACAGCUCUUUGGCUGUCCGAGUUUCUCCCGUGCAGGAUCAAAAACAAGUUUAACACGUGCAGUCCUUAAAAAGGAACAAAUGUUAUCUUUCAAAAACCAGUGGGCCAUGGCUGGCUUCCCACAGACCCUGAUGGUUUCUUCCACCCCA